rnacentral:rRNA from 1 species
GAGGCACUACGGUGCUGAAGUAACAAAUGCCCUGCUUCCAGGAAAAGCCUCUAAGCAUCAGGUAACAUCAAAUCGUACCCCAAACCGACACAGGUGGUCAGGUAGAGAAUACCAAGGCGCUUGAGAGAACUCGGGUGAAGGAACUAGGCAAAAUGGUGCCGUAACUUCGGGAGAAGGCACGCUGAUAUGUAGGUGAAGCCCCUGCGGGUGGAGCUGAAAUCAGUCGAAGAUACCAGCUGGCUGCAACUGUUUAUUAAAAACACAGCACUGUGCAAACACGAAAGUGGACGUAUACGGUGUGACGCCUGCCCGGUGCCGGAAGGUUAAUUGAUGGGGUUAGCGGCAACGCGAAGCUCUUGAUCGAAGCCCCGGUAAACGGCGGCCGUAACUAUAACGGUCCUAAGGUAGCGAAAUUCCUUGUCGGGUAAGUUCCGACCUGCACGAAUGGCGUAAUGAUGGCCAGGCUGUCUCCACCCGAGACUCAGUGAAAUUGAACUCGCUGUGAAGAUGCAGUGUACCCGCGGCAAGACGGAAAGACCCCGUGAACCUUUACUAUAGCUUGACACUGAACACUGGUCCUUGAUGUGUAGGAUAGGUGGGAGGCUUUGAAGCGUGGACGCCAGUCUGCGUGGAGCCGACCUUGAAAUACCACCCUUUAAUGGCUGGUGUUCUAACGUAGACCCGUGAUCCGGGUUGCGGACAGUGUCUGGUGGGUAGUUUGACUGGGGCGGUCUCCUCCCAAAGAGUAACGGAGGAGCACGAAGGUUAGCUAAUCCUGGUCGGACAUCAGGAGGUUAGUGCAAUGGCAUAAGCUAGCUUGACUGCGAGAGUGACGGCUCGAGCAGGUGCGAAAGCAGGUCAUAGUGAUCCGGUGGUUCUGAAUGGAAGGGCCAUCGCUCAACGGAUAAAAGGUACUCCGGGGAUAACAGGCUGAUACCGCCCAAGAGUUCAUAUCGACGGCGGUGUUUGGCACCUCGAUGUCGGCUCAUCACAUCCUGGGGCUGAAGUAGGUCCCAAGGGUAUGGCUGUUCGCCAUUUAAAGUGGUACGCGAGCUGGGUUUAGAACGUCGUGAGACAGUUCGGUCCCUAUCUGCCGUGGGCGCUGGAGAAUUGAGGGGGGCUGCUCCUAGUACGAGAGGACCGGAGUGGACGCAUCACUGGUGUUCGGGUUGUCAUGCCAAUGGCACUGCCCGGUAGCUAAAUGCGGAAAAGAUAAGUGCUGAAAGCAUCUAAGCACGAAACUUGCC